CCUACGGGAGGCAGCAGUGAGGAAUAUUGGGCAAUGGGGGCAACUCUGACCCAGCCAUGCCGCGUGAGUGAAGAAGGUCUUCGGAUUGUAAAGUUCUUUUGGACGGGACGAAGAAGAUGGUAGUGCCUUAAGAAUAAGCGGCAAACUACGUGCCAGCAGCAGCGGUAAUACGAAGGGGGCGACAGUCGUUCGGAAUUAUUGGGCGUAAAGGGAGUGUAGGCGGAUAUGUAAGAUAGCGGUGAAAUUCCGGGGAUCAACCCCGGAACUGCCAUUAUGACUAUGUAUUUAGAGUAAUGGAGAGGAUAACGGAAUACCUAGUGUAGAGGUGGAAUUCGUAGAUAUUGGGUGGAACACCAGUGGCGAAGGCGACUAUCUGGCCAUUUACUGACGCUGAGGCUCGAAAGCAUGGGGAGCAAACAGGAUUAGAUACCCUUGUAGUC
rnacentral:rRNA from 1 species